GAUGAACGCUGGCGGCGUGCCUAAUACAUGCAAGUCGAGCGAACGGACGAGAAGCUUGCUUCUCUGAUGUUAGCGGCGGACGGGUGAGUAACACGUGGAUAACCUACCUAUAAGACUGGGAUAACUUCGGGAAACCGGAGCUAAUACCGGAUAAUAUUUUGAACCGCAUGGUUCAAAAGUGAAAGACGGUCUUGCUGUCACUUAUCGAUGGAUCCGCGCUGCAUUAGCUAGUUGGUAAGGUAACGGCUUACCAAGGCAACGAUGCAUAGCCGACCUGAGAGGGUGAUCGGCCACACUGGAACUGAGACACGGUCCAGACUCCUACGGGAGGCAGCAGUAGGGAAUCUUCCGCAAUGGGCGAAAGCCUGACGGAGCAACGCCGCGUGAGUGAUGAAGGUCUUCGGAUCGUAAAACUCUGUUAUUAGGGAAGAACAGAUGUGUAAGUAACUGUGCACAUCUUGACGGUACCUAAUCAGAAAGCCACGGCUAACUACGUG
rnacentral:rRNA from 1 species